rnacentral:rRNA from 1 species
GUGGGGAAUUUUGGACAAUGGGCGCAAGCCUGAUCCAGCAAUGCCGCGUGCAGGAAGAAGGCCUUCGGGUUGUAAACUGCUUUUGUACGGAACGAAACGGUCCUGGUUAAUACCUGGGGCUAAUGACGGUACCGUAAGAAUAAGCACCGGCUAACUACGUGCCAGCAGCCGCGGUAAUACGUAGGGUGCGAGCGUUAAUCGGAAUUACUGGGCGUAAAGCGUGCGCAGGCGGUGCUGUAAGACAGGCGUGAAAUCCCCGGGCUCAACCUGGGAAUUGCGAUUGUGAUGACAGUGCUGGAGUACGGCAGAGGGGGAUGGAAUUCCGCGUGUAGCAGUGAAAUGCGUAGAUAUGCGGAGGAACACCGAUGGCGAAGGCAGUCCCCUGGGCCUGUACUGACGCUCAUGCACGAAAGCGUGGGGAGCAAACAGGAUUAGAUACCCCGGUAGUCC